UGCAUAAUUUUAUGUUCAUAUAUUCUUCUAUCAAUUGGUUUGGCAAGUAUAUUUUGAUGUUGAAUUUCAUAGAAUGAGCCUUCUAUACUGGUCCAGUGAUGAGGAACAUUAAAAUUCUAAACCUAGUCCAAAACCUUCAUGAAUCAAAAAUCAAUUUUGCUACUUAUAGAAAGUGAAAGUCAAUUUGAAUUUUGCCACUAGUUGUCAAGUUUAUCUUUUACAUAUUUCUAGAAUACUUAGCUAUUAAGAAAAUGAGUUGUUAACUAUGAGUUGUCAAUGAGUUGUGUAUGAGUUGUCAAUAAGUUGUGUAUGAGUUGUCAAUGAGUUGUACAAAGGCUUUUGAAGCCUAUAAAUAGAGGCAAUGACCUCUAGCUAUGUAGUUUUUAGUUCAACUUUUCCAUUAAUGAAACUUUGUGUUUUCUUUUAAGAUCUUGGAUUAGAUCUUGUAUUUUAAGGUCUUUGGAUUAAGCUCUUGUUAUCCGCGGAUUCGGAUUGUCUUUAAACCGUUAUUUUACAACACGUUAAAGUUGUUCCUUCAACAAAUUGUGUGGUUUACUUUAUUUAGCACAUUAGAGAGUUCCUCUAAAACUUGUGCUACAUCAGUUUGGUAUCUGAGCAAUGGAGGAUCUUACAACGAAGGUGAAUAACCUAGAAGAAAAAGUGGAUCAACAAAUCGCUACUCUUCGUGAAGAACUCACUAGGAGGUUUGAAGAACUUGUUGUAUUAGUGAGAAACAAUCAAGAAGGUGUUGCAGAAAUCGGAGACAACAUCGAGCUCAAUAUGUAGAAGAGGAAGAUGAUUUGGAGGAACAUGAUCUUUAUGCACAACCAAGAAGAGGUCAUGCAAAUGGUGGAGAUAUGUACAAGAUUAAGGCUGAAAUCCCAAUUUUCGAUGGUAAUGUAAACAUUGAAGGGAUUCUUGAUUGGAUCUAUGAGGUGGAGACAUUCUUUGACCUCCAGAUCGUCGAGUACCAUUGGUGGCAUAUAAAUUGAAAGGAGGUGCUGGAGCUUGGUGGAAUCGUCAUCAAGAAGAUCUUCGUUUGAGGGGUGAAAAUCGUGUAAGAUAUUGGCCACAAAUGAAAGCACUUCUAAAGGCUAGGUUCUUGCCUGCGGAUUAUGAACAACUCUUGUACCUACAGUUCCAUAACUCUGUUCAAGGUAAUAAAUCUGUUUUUGAUUAUACAGAGGAGUUCUUAAGAUUACAAGUAAGGUGCAAUCUUUCUGAAAAUGAAGACCAACAAGUCGCAGGGUAUAUCAAUUGUCUCAAUGAUUCUAUCCAAGAACGUCUUGGCAUACAACAAAUUUGGUCCAUAGAUCAAGAUCAAACUCUUGCCUUGAAAGCUGAGAGAUAUAUAAAGACCAAGAAGUCUUAUAAAGCCGCGUCUUAUUCUUGCCCAGAAAGUAUAUCAAAAAGUUCUCCACGCCAAGAGGAGGGAAAGUUUAUUCCAUCUAAAGCAAAGAAAGAUGAAAAAACACCAUCUUCUAGCAAAAAUAAUGAUAAGCAACCAUCUAAUAUGAUCAAAUGUUACAAGUGACGUGAAGAGGGACACAUUUCAAGCAACUGUCCAAGAAGGAAGUUUGUCAACACCACUCGUCGUGAUGAAAUUGAUGAAGAGGUGGACAACUAUGAAAGUAAAGGUGAACCCGAACUAUGUGAAGAAGAGGGAGAAGAAAUAGUAUGCGUGGUUUAACGCCUUCUAUGCUCAACCAUGCAACCUGAACAGAUACAACGAAAGAGGAUAUUCGAAAGCAAAUGCACUGUGAAUGGAAAGGUAUGCAAGUUGGUAAUUGAUAGUUGUAGCUGUGAGAAUUUAGUUUCUGAAAAUAUGGUUAAGCACUUAAAUCUUGAGACACAUGAUCACUCGAAUCCAUAUACUAUCGGAUGGCUCAAGAAAGGAGUGAAGAUCAGGAUCACCAAACAAUGUUGGUUACCAUUUUAUUUAGGUAAGUAUUAUCGAUCAAAUGUUCUAUGUGAUGUGGUUGAUAUGGAUGCAUGUCAUGUUCUUCUUGGAAGACCCUGGCAAUAUGAUGUGAACACCACACAUAAAGGAAGAGACAAUUGGUAUUCUUUCAUUUGAAACAAACGAAAAAUCAUUAUACUUCCAAACAAGACUACUAAUAAUGCCUCUGAAGUAGAGGAGAAGAGAAGAAAUCAAAAUUAUGUGCCACAUUAGUCGUCAAAGGAGAUGAGCAACCAAUAAAAGAAAUUCCAGUGGAGCUGUUAUCUGAAUACCAAAGCAUACUUGGAGAGCCUUAACAUCUAUCUCCUAUGAGGAAUAUUCAACAUCAAAUAGAUUUUGUUCCAGGUGCUAGUCUUCCCAACCUACCACACUAUAGGAUGAGCCCAAAAGAGCAUGCAAUUCUAAAUUCUAAGGGAGAAAGUAGAAGAGUUAUUGAGUAAGUGACAUGUUAGAGAAAGCAUAAGUCCAUGCGAUGUACCAGCACUACUCACGCCAAAGAAAGAUGGAUCUUGGUGGAUGUGCGUGGAUAGUAGGGUUAUCAAUAAAAUCACUUCAAGGUACAAAUUUCCUAUCCCACGAAUGGAUGACAUGCUUGACCAACUCAGUGGAGCAAAGGUGUUUUCGAAGCUUGAUCUAAGAAGCGGAUAUUACCGAAUACAAAUUAGACCCGGUGAUGAAUGGAAGACUGCGUUCAAGACAAAAAAGGGGUUGUAUGAAUGGCUAGUUAUGCCAUUUGGACUUUCUACUGCUCCUAGUACUUUCAUGCGCCUAAUGAAUCAAGUUCUUUGUCCAUUCUUGUCACAGUUUGUAGUUGUCUAUUUUGACGACAUAUUGAUAUAUUGCAAAAAUAUGGAGGAACAUUUUAAACAUGUCAAAAAGGUGAUGGAUGUAUUGAAGGAUAAUGAGCUCUAUGUUAACCUGAAGAAGUGUGUAUUCCUUGAAACAAAGCUAGUUUUCUUAGGCUUUAUUAUCUCAAGUGAGGGGAUUCAAGUUGAUGAGUCUAAAAUAGACACAACAAAGGGAUGGGCAACUCCAAAAAACUAUCUCUGAAGUAAGGAACUUCCAUGGUUUAGCCACAUUCUAUAGAAGAUUUGUGAAGAACUUUAGUACUAUCAUGGCACCAAUCACUGAAUGUUUAAAGAAAGGAAAGUUCAAAUGGGAUGAAAAAGCUGAAGCUAUUUUCAUAGAGAUUAAGGAAAAGCUGUCACAAGCUCCUAUAUUAGUGUUACCAGAUUUCAACAAGACCUUUGAGUUGGAAUGUGAUGCUAGUGGAGUAGGCAUGUGUUCUAUCACAAGAAAUGAAACUUGUUGCUUUCUUCAGUGAGAAGCUGUGAGAAGCUAAGUGAAGCAAGACAAAAAUGGAGCAUUUACCAGCAAAAGUUGUAUUCUGUUUAUAGAGCAUUGAAGACAUGGAAGGUCUAUUUAAUGCCUAAAGAAUUCAUUGUCUACACUGAUCAUCGAUCGUUGAAACAUUUUAUAAGUCAAAAGCAUGUGGAUCGCAUGUUAGCAAGAUGGGCAGCAUACCUAAAGAGAUUCAAUUAUCUUAUUGUCCACAAGUCCGGAGUAACUAAUCGAGUGGUAGAUGCUUUAAGCCGACGUGCAAGUCUCAUGGUUUCUUUUGAAGUUGAGUUACCAGGAGUAGACCAAAUAAAAGAACUAUAUGAAAAUGAUGAAGACUUCGGGCGAAUCUGGGUGAAACAAACGAAAGGUUUACCAUUAGAAGAGAAUUUUGUGGUACAAGAUGGAUAUCUCUUUAAUGGAAACCACUUAUGUAUUCCCAGAGGUUCUCUACGAGACAAAUUGAUUCGAGAAAUGCAUUCAUGUAAUCUUAGCGGCCAUGUUGGGUGUGAUAAAACUAUUGCUAAUUUGGAAGCACGCUACUAUCGGCCACAACUUAAGAGAGAUGUCGGCAAAUUUGUGCAAAGGUGUCCCAUUUGCUAAACAUACAAACGUCAGGUUCAUAACACUAGACUCUAUAUGCCAUUACCCGUUCCAAGUGCACCUUGGGAAGACCUAUCAAUGGAUUUUAUACUUGGCUUACCAAGGACAAGGCGAGGACAUGAUGUUGUUUAUGUGAUAGUUGACAGAUUUCUAAAAUGACUCAUUUUAUCCCUUGCCGUAAGACAACGGAUGCCCAUCAUGUAGCUAAUCUUUUCUUCAGAGAAGUAGUCAGACUACAUGGUGUUCCAAGAUCAAUUGUUUCAGAUUGAGAUAACAAAUUUUUUGCUGCAUUUUGGCUUACUUUAUGGAAACAAUUGAACACAAAAUUGAAGUUUUCAAGCACUGCCCAUCCACAAACAGAUGGCCAAAUAGAAGUGGUGAAUAAAUUUUUAGGAAAUUUAAUUCGAUGCAUCUGUAGAAAAAAGAAAGGACAUUGUGAUUUAGCUUUAUCCCUUGCGGAGUUUGCCUACAAUAAUUCUAAGCAUAGGUCUACGGGUCGUAGACCUUUCUCCAUUGUGUACAAUAGAGUUCCAAGACAUGUGGUUGAUUUAGUGAAGCUACCAACAAGGGAGAAUUCAAGAUCAGCUAUGAACUUUGGUGACAACUAUUCGAAAUUAUUUAAAAAGGUUCAAGACGUAUUAGAAGCAUCAAACAAGAAAUACAAGCAGGUGACAAAUAAGAAUAGGGGGCUAAUGUCAUUCCUAGUUGGUGACCAAGUAAUGGUAUACCUUAGAAAGGAGAGACUGCCUACUGGUGUUCACGGAAAAUUAAGGCAAAUGAAAUAUGACCCAUACACUAUACUAAAGAAGAUCAACGACAAUGCCUAUGUGGUAGAUUUGCCAAGUGAGAUGAAUAUUUCAAAUACUUUUAAUGUGACUGACCUAUCACUCUAUCAUUCAGAGCAAACACUUUACGAAGAAAAAUCGAGGUCGAGUUUCAAAGAAGUAAAGGGGAAUGAUGAGGAGCAUUAAAAUUCUAAACCUAGUCCAGAACCUUCAUAAAUCAAAAAUCAAUUUUGCUACUUAUAGAAAGAGAAAGUCAAUUUGAAUUUUGCUACUAGUUGUCAAGUUUAUCUUUUACAUAAUUCUAGAAUACUUAUCUAUUAAGAAAAUGAGUUGUCAACUAUGAGUUGUAUAUGAGUUGUACAAAGGCUUUGGAAGCCUAUAAAUAGAGGGCAAUGACCUCUAGCUAUGUAGUUUUUAGUUCAACUCUUCUAUUAAUGAAACUUUGUGUUUUCUUUUAAGAUCUUGGAUUAGAUCUUGUAUUUUAAGGGCUUUGAAUUAAGCUCUUGUUAUCCGUGAAUUCGGAUUGUUUUUAAAGCGUUAUCUUACAACACGUUGAAGUUGUUCUUUCAACAAAUUGUGUGGUUUACUUUAUUUAGCACAUUAGAGAGUUCCUCUAAAACUUGUGCUACAUCAUCUAGUUGAGAUGGCGCAUUUGAAUGCAAUAUGACCAAUCUUUUUCUGUUUGAUGUGAAUCUGCCUAGAGAAACAAUGUUUUUUCUUUUUGAAAGGCUUUGGCGUAGAAAAGUAUAUGUUGCAAGUGAUGCUUUGACUGUCAGUAGCAUAUUAGAGUUUGAUUCGGAAGCAAAUUCGUGCACCGUCAAAUCCACAUACAUCAUCCAGCAUGCAGAAGGCUUUACCUACUUGUAUUCUAAUGCCGAUGACAUUUUCCUUGCUGCAAACCAUACAUCCAGUCUAUAAAACCGGAGC
rnacentral:lncRNA from 1 species